CCUACGGGAGGCAGCAGUGGGGAAUAUUCCACCAUGGGCGAAACCCUGAUGGAGCAACGCCGCGUGAGCGAUGAAGGCCUUCGGGUCGUAAAGCUCUGUCCUCAAAGAAGAUAAGUAAGGUACUUGAGGAGGAAGUCGCGGCUAACUACGUGCCAGCAGCCGCGGUAAUACGUAGGGGGCUAGCGUUAUGCGGAAUUACUGGGCGUAAAGGGAGCGUAGGCGGUUCCUUAAGUCAGAGGUGAAAGGCUACGGCUCAACCGUAGUAAGACUUGGACACUGGGGAACUUGAGUGCAGGAGAGGAGAGUGGAAUUCCAAGUGGAGCGGUGAAAUGCGUAGAUAUUAGGAGGAACACCAGUUGCGAAGGCGGCUCUCUGGACUGUAACUGACACUGAGGCACGAAAGUGUGGGGAGCAAACAGGAUUAGAUACCCUGGUAGUC
rnacentral:rRNA from 1 species